rnacentral:rRNA from 1 species
AGAAUCAACGCUGGCGGCGUGCCUAACACAUGCAAGUCGAACGAGAAAGUGGAGCAAUCCAUGAGUAAAGUGGCGCACGGGUGAGUAACACGUGACUAACCUACCCUUGAGUGGGGAAUAACUUCGGGAAACCGAGGCUAAUACCGCAUAACACCUACGGGUCAAAGGAGCAAUUCGCUUAAGGAGGGGGUCGCGGCAGAUUAGUUAGUUGGCGGGGUAAUGGCCCACCAAGACGGUGAUCUGUAUCCGGCCUGAGAGGGCGCACGGACACACUGGAACUGAAACACGGUCCAGACUCCUACGGGAGGCAGCAGUGGGGAAUUUGCGCAAUGGGGGAAACCCUGACGCAGCAACGCCGCGUGGAGGAUGAAGUCCUUGGGACGUAAACUCCUUUCGAUCGGGACGAUUAUGACGGUACCGGAAGAAGAAGCCCCGGCUAACUUCGCGCCAGCAGCCGC